rnacentral:rRNA from 1 species
UACGGAGGGGGCAAGCGUUAUUCGGAAUCAUUGGGCGUAAAGGGCGCGUAGGCGGCCUUGCAAGUCAAAGGUGAAAUCCCUCGGCCUAACCGAGGAACUGCCUUUGAUACUGCAUGGCUCGAGGCCGGGAGAGGGUAGCGGAAUUCCCCAGUGUAGCGGUGAAAUGCGUAGAUAUUGGGAGGAACACCAGUGGCGAAGGCGGCUACCUGGACCGGUUCUGACGCUGAUGCGCGAAAGCGUGGGGAGCAAACAGG